rnacentral:rRNA from 1 species
CCUUAACCUGCUAAAUAGUUGCAUUCACUUUGGUGGAUGAUUUUUUCCCAACUUCUUAGAGGGACUAUACACGUUUAGUGUAUGGAAGUUUGAGGCAAUAACAGGUCUGUGAUGCCCUUAGAUGUUCUGGGCCGCACGCGCGCUACACUGACAAAGGCAGCAAGUAAAAAGCUUUUUCACCUUGUCUGGAAAGACUGGGUAAUCUUUUGAAACUUUGUCGUGCUGGGGAUAGUCCCUUGCAAUUAUUGGACUUCAACGAGGAAUUCCUAGUAAGUGCAAGUCAUCAGCUUGCGUUGAUUACGUCCCUGCCCUUUGUACACACCGCCCGUCGCUACUACCGAUUGAAUGGCUUAGUGAGACCUCCGGAUUGGCGUUUUUUGGGCUGAAAGGCUCGGAAGCUGUUGAGAAGUUGGUCAAACUUGGUCAUUUAGAGGAAGUAAAAGUCG